CUGUGUUCUCAGGGCGGGGUGUAAUUCCCCACCGGCGGUAUCGGGAUUUAUCCCGGAGCCCGCGAGCGCUUCCGGUUAUGCCGGAAGGUCAGCAGAUCCGGUGAGAGGCCGGAGCCGACGGUAUAGUCCGGAUGGAAGAGAACAAGG
rnacentral:ncRNA from 2 species